rnacentral:rRNA from 1 species
CAGCCGCCACGGUAAUACAGAGGGUGCGAGCGUUAAUCGGAAUUACUGGGCGUAAAGGGCGCGUAGGCGGUUUGUACAGUUGGAUGUGAAAUUCCUGGGCUUAACCUGGGGGCUGCAUUCAAUACGUGCAGGCUUGAGUGGGGAAGAGGGUCGUGGAAUUCCCAGUGUAGAGGUGAAAUUCGUAGAUAUUGGGAAGAACACCGGUGGCGAAGGCGGCGACCUGGUCCUUGACUGACGCUGAGGCGCGAAAGCGAGGGGAGCAAACAGGAUUAGAUACCCCCGUAGUCCCUGUCUCUUAUAC